UUGUCCCUGCGGUGUACGUGGUGAAAUAGGAUUUUUUGAACCAACGCCAAAUACUAGGGAGCCUAACUUCAGGUGUGGCUGUAUACCCUGGCAAUAUUACAGGGGAACAAUAAACAUCUGAGAGGGCGCCCACGUGCUUAAUAGGUUCAUUAAGCAUCCUUUCACACGGCAUAUGUGGGGAUUUU
rnacentral:other from 1 species